rnacentral:rRNA from 1 species
UACACUCCUACGGGAGGCAGCAGUGGGGAAUUUUGGACAAUGGGCGAAAGCCUGAUCCAGCAAUGCCGCGUGAGUGAAGAAGGCCUUCGGGUUGUAAAGCUCUUUUGUCAGGGAAGAAACGGUGAAAGCUAAUAUCUUUUGCUAAUGACGGUACAUGAAGAAUAAGCACCGGCUAACUACGUGCCAGCAGCCGCGGUAAUACGUAGGGUGCAAGCGUUAAUCGGAAUUACUGGGCGUAAAGCGUGCGCAGGCGGUUUUGUAAGUCUGAUGUGAAAUCCCCGGGCUCAACCUGGGAAUUGCAUUGGAGACUGCAAGGCUAGAAUCUGGCAGAGGGGGGUAGAAUUCCACGUGUAGCAGUGAAAUGCGUAGAUAUGUGGAGGAACACCGAUGGUGAAGGCAGCCCCCUGGGUCAAGAUUGACGCUCAUGCACGAAAGCGUGGGGAGCAAACAGGAUUAGAUACCCUGGUAGUCCCAUGA